GGGAACUCUGACACGAGGUGCUGCAGUGGCUGUCGUCAGCUCGUGUCGUGAGAUGGUUGGGUUAACGUACCGUAACGAGCGCAACCUUGUCCUUAGUUACCAGCACGUUAUGGUGGGCACUCUAAGGAGACUGCCGGUGACAAACCGGAGGAAGGUGGGGAUGACGUCAAGUCAUCAUGGCCCUUACGGCCUGGGCUACACACGUGCUACAAUGGUCGGUACAAAGGGUUGCCAAGCCGCGAGGUGGAGCUAAUCCCAUAAAACCGAUCGUAGUCCGGAUCGCAGUCUGCAACUCGACUGCGUGAAGUCGGAAUCGCUAGUAAUCGUGAAUCAGAAUGUCACGGUGAAUACGUUCCCGGGCCUU
rnacentral:rRNA from 1 species